GGGAAGUUGGCCGAGGGGUUAAGGCGUUAAUAAUUGUUAAAUAUGACUUGUUGAAAGUCAUUAACAGCAAAAAUAAUUAAUUUAAUACGCUCUGUCGUUCGUGAGUUCGAAUCUCACACUUCCCA
rfam:Anaeromyces robustus strain S4 BCR32scaffold_158, whole genome shotgun sequence.